AUUGAACGCUGGCGGCAGGCCUAACACAUGCAAGUCGAACGAGUGGCGGACGGGUGAGUAAUGUCUGGGAAAAUGCCUGAUGGAGGGGGCUAACUACUGGAAACGGUAGCUAAUACCGCAUACCAUCGGAUGUGCCCAGAUGGGAUUAGCUAGUAGGUGGGGUAACGGCUCACCUAGGCGACGAUCCCUAGCUGGUCUGAGAGGAUGACCAGCCACACUGGAACUGAGACACGGUCCAGACUCCUACGGGAGGCAGCAGUGGGGAAUAUUGCACAAUGGGCGCAAGCCUGAUACAGCCAUGCCGCGUGUGUGAAGAAGGCCUUCGGGUUGUAAAGUACUUUCAGCGGGGAGGCGUUACCCGCAGAAGAAGCACCGGCUAACUCCGUGCCAGCCGCCGCGGUAAUAC
rnacentral:rRNA from 1 species